GAAAUUAGGGCUUUAGUUAGCCA
rnacentral:snRNA from 1 species